UACUACCUAAAUUAAUUACUUGCUAUUUGGUCACAUUGUUUUUGCAUUCUGCAUUUUAAUUAUUAGGUACGAAACUUAUCAGUUGACUUCAAUUGUUUGGAUGAAAAAGAACUCAAGUGCGCAUAUUAAGAAAAUUAUAACCACAAGAACUUAAAACUUCUGCGUCAAUACUCUAAAAAUAUAACCCCUAGAAAUUCAGCAAUAUCAAUCAAAAUCACGUCAUUUGAAAUUCGCCAACCUUUGCUAUUAUACUUAACGUAUGAUUUUAAUAUUGCACAUAAAAUAGAUUGGAAUGAAUUGAGUUUUGAAAACAAGAUUCUCGGAUGGGGUAGCUACAAAGCAACUUGGAAGUCAAAAGAUGGUCCACAGAAAAUCGUGAUUAAAAAAUUUAGAGCCUUUGUAAAAGACUCCCCAAUUGAAAAAGAAUUCGGUCUGUUAUCGUUAGCCAACAAUGAUGAUAUUGUGAAAUUGUUUGGUAUCACAAAAGAUGGAGACAGUAGAACGGUCAUGGUCAUGGAAUAUGCAGAGUGCGGUUCUUUCCAUAACGUUUUGUAUCAACAAAUAUGCUAUAUGUGACGUAUUCACUGAAUGCUUCAACCUGCCAAGGUAAAUUAAUAAAUACAUAAUGUAAUACCUUUCUCACUCGUUAAUCUAACUCAUAGGGUAUUGAAUACAUUCAUGAAUUUAGUCCGCAAAUUCUUCAUCGUGAUCUAAAACCACAAAAUCUACUAAUUUGCAAUCAGUUUUCGACAUUGAAAAUUUGCGAUUUUGGUACAGCUAAAGAGUUGGAUACCAAGAUGUCAAAUAUUGUACUAAUUCCGAUUUCACAAAAUAAGGCGAUCCACUCAUAAUUGACAUUCAAAAUAUCCACAAAUCUGAUCAGAUAAUAAAACUUAUAGAACAGUGUUGGGAUGAACAUUCUAAGCAAAGACCAGCUAUGCAAGAAGUUAUAAGAAAUAUUGAAUUUUGUUAUUCCAAGGACGAAGAUAAACACUUUAUGGAUUUGAGAUUCUUCUUUAAAAAGCGUGAAGAAGCUUGAAGAAUAUCAUGUCUGUAGUGUAGACAUGGAUGAAGAUGGUUAUUCUAUCGAUUAUGAGGUCGGAUGUUUACCUUAUGAGUUUCGAUUUAAACCUCAACCAACUGUCAAAAUUAACUGGAUCGAUUUUUCAAUUAAUGAGCUAUUAACAUAUACACAGAAAAAUAAU